AUAUNGGGCCCUUCGUACUCAUAAGUUGUUUCGAUGAUGAAGCUUCCGAAUCAACGAUCUACUCCGUUAAAUAUGAUCUAGAGUAUUUAAAACUUAUAAAAAAUAAAAUUCAUAAUUUUUCGAAAUCAAAAUAAAAUCAAUCAAACGGGCAUAAAAUGAACGGUCAAAAUUAAACGACGUCCUAAAAAUGGAUGAUCGGAUCCUUCAAUUUAAGAUCGGAGUUAUUGAUCUUUAUCUAAGUAAUGAAUAGAAUUUUUUAUCAAAAAUUCAACCUAUUCUAAUUCUUUUACACCGUUAAACUAGCAAAUAUCCCAUACCGACCGUUAAAAAUUGUCAAUUUUGUGAGCCUUUGAUCGUAAGGUAAAUGAUAUCGAAAAAUUAUGAAAUUUGAUUUCUAGAAGUUUAAAUGCUCUAUAUAACGUUUAAUGGUGUGCAUCGUCGAUUCGGAAGCUCUAUCAUCGAAAACAACUUAUGAGUACGAGGGCAAUCGUACUCAUAAGAGUAUAGUAGCCGGACUAGCUGGACUAUAGUAACCCUACUCUAUAUAUAUAUAUAUAUAUAUAUAUAUAUAGAGUAGGGUUACUAUACUCUUAUGAGUAUAGAACCCUUACUACUCAUAAGUUGUUUUCAAUGUUGGAGUUUUCAAAUCGACGAUUCACACCGUUAAACAUGAUUUAGAGUAUUUGAAACUUCUAGAAAAUAAAUUUCAUAAAUUUUCGAAAUCAUUAUAAAGUUCAUCGAGCGAGUAUAAAAUGAACGGUUAAAAUCGAAUGACAUCCUAAAAAUGGAUGAUCGGAUCCUUCAAUUUAAGAUCGGAGUUAUUGAUCUUUAUUUAGAUAGUGAAUAGAAUUUUCUAUCAAAAAUUCAACCUAUUUCGAUUCUUUUUCACCGUUAAACUAGCAAAUAUCUCAUGCCAGUUGUUAAAAAUUGUCAAUUUUUUGACCUUUUGAUCGUAAGGUAAAUGAUAUCGAAAAAUUAUAAAAUUUAAUUUCUAGAAGUUUUAAAUGCUCUAGAAAAUAUUUAACUGUAUGGAUCGUCGAUUCAAAAGCUUUACCAUAAAAAACAACUUAUGAGUACGAGGGCGAUCGUACUCAUAAUCAUAGUUAGUUAAUUCGCGAAUUAUUCGCGAAUUAUUCGCGAAUUUUUGGAAAUCCGAAUUAAACGGCCAUUUUCGAAUUUUUGGAAAAAAUUCGGAAAAAAACGGAAUUUUUUGACGAAAAAUACGUGUUCGCGUAUUAUACGGCGGGCCGAAUUAUUCGGCCCAAAAAAACUGACCAAGCCCGCAGCCCGCAACCCGCGCGCCUGCCUGCGCCUGCCCGCCCCGCCCGCACCUGCC
rnacentral:lncRNA from 1 species